rnacentral:rRNA from 1 species
UAGGGAAUCUUCCGCAAUGGGCGAAAGCCUGACGGAGCAACGCCGCGUGAGUGAUGAAGGUCUUCGGAUCGUAAAACUCUGUUAUUAGGGAAGAACAAAUGUGUAAGUAACUAUGCACGUCUUGACGGUACCUAAUCAGAAAGCCACGGCUAACUACGUGCCAGCAGCCGCGGUAAUACGUAGGUGGCAAGCGUUAUCCGGAAUUAUUGGGCGUAAAGCGCGCGUAGGCGGUUUUUUAAGUCUGAUGUGAAAGCCCACGGCUCAACCGUGGAGGGUCAUUGGAAACUGGAAAACUAGAGUGCAGAAGAGGAAAGUGGAAUUCCAUGUGUAGCGGUGAAAUGCGCAGAGAUAUGGAGGAACACCAGUGGCGAAGGCGACCUUCUGGUCUGUAACUGACGCUGAUGUGCGAAAGCGUGGGGAUCGAACAGG